rnacentral:rRNA from 1 species
UGGGGAAUAUUGCACAAUGGAGGGAACUCUGAUGCAGCGACGCCGCGUGAACGAAGAAGGCUUUCGAGUCGUAAAGUUCUUUUAUAUGGGAAGAUAAUGACGGUACCAUAAGAAAAAGCCCCGGCUAACUACGUGCCAGCAGCCGCGGUAAUACGUAGGGGGCUAGCGUUGUCCGGAAUCACUGGGCGUAAAGGGUUCGCAGGCGGAAAUGCAAGUCAGGUGUAAAAGGCAGUAGCUUAACUACUGUAAGCAUUUGAAACUGCAUAUCUUGAGAAGAGUAGAGGUAAGUGGAAUUUUUAGUGUAGCGGUGAAAGGAGUAGAUAUUAAAAAGAAUACCGGUGGCGAAGGCGACUUACUGGGCUCAUUCUGACGCUGAGGAACGAAAGCGUGGGUAGCAAACAGG